AUUGAACGCUGACGGCAGGCUUAACACAUGCAAGUCGAGCGGUAACAGAGAGAAGCUUGCUUCUCUGCUGACGAGCGGCGGACGGGUGAGUAAUGCCUAGGAAUCUGCCUAGUAGUGGGGGAUAACUUGCCGAAAGGUAAGCUAAUACCGCAUACGUCCUACGGGAGAAAGGAGGGGACCUUCGGGCCUUUCGCUAUUAGAUGAGCCUAGGUCGGAUUAGUUAGUUGGUGAGGUAAUGGCUCACCAAGACCGCGAUCCGUAACUGGUCUGAGAGGAUGAUCAGUCACACUGGAACUGAGACACGGUCCAGACUCCUACGGGAGGCAGCAGUGGGGAAUAUUGGACAAUGGGGGGAACCCUGAUCCAGCCAUGCCGCGUGUGUGAAGAAGGUCUUAGGAUUGUAAAGCGCUUUAAGUUGGGAGGAAGAGCAGUUAACUAAUAUUUGACUGUUUUGACGUUACCGACAGAAUAAGCACCGGCUAACUUCGUGCCAGCAGCCGCGGUAA
rnacentral:rRNA from 1 species